CUAAACACUGGGAGCAAACUUGGGAAUUAAGGACCUUGUCCAAGGGGCCUUGGUGAUUUUAGGGUCUGACUUGGAUUUGAUCCCAGGAUCAUCUGGUCACAAA